AGGCCGGACGUCUUACCAUGCAUGUCAGUCGGACGGACGGGCUUCCUUCUGGCGGGUGGUGAGUGACGGAUGAGUGAUACAUCCAUCCGAGCCCGGCCUGGAGGGAGGGAUAACUAAAAGAAAGAUUAAUACAUACCACAAACUACCUGUGGAUGAAGGCGACCGACCGCUAACUCCCUCUCCCUGCGGGCGCGAUCUAUGUUUGAUUAUCUGGUGGGGGGAAAAAACCCCUACGAGGGAAACUAUCUGUGGUGUGAGAGAAAGAUCAAUCACACUGACUGAGACAGACACCCCACACACACUCCUGGGGGAGGCGGGGGUGGUUUUUUUUAGAGGGUGGGCCCCACCCUGAUCCAUCCCUCGCGUGUGUAAAAAGACUGCCUUCUGUAUAAAACUUUUUUUUGUACAGAAAGAACUGUCUCUGAUACACGGGCGGGGUCAAUGACCGAAAAAAAAAAACACCCCCCCUCUAUGUGCGCGCCCCCGCGCGAAUAUAUAGGGAGGGAGCGAGUAUCAAUCAUACUGAGUGUAAAGAGCGCGCGCGCGGGUUUUUUUGACAGACGUGAGAUCCCCCCCCUCUCUUUGCUUGGGACUGGUGUGUGUGACUGGAUAGAUAGUGUCAGACAGAGGGAGAUAUACUCGCGUGUGUGAGAGAUACAUGCAUAUAUAUGUGGAUAAAUAUCGAUGGCGAACCCCCCCCCCUGGUCUCUCACUCUCGCUCAUGAAAGAGAGGGGGGAGAACAAAAAUAAAUACACUCGUGUCCGCCCACUCCAUAACUAUAACAACUAGUGGAUAGACAUUUCUUUCCUCACAUAUAUAACACGCGCGUGAAGUCGAGCGGCGGGCGAGCGCGCAGAAUAUAACACAAAAGUGACGGACGAGCACCACCGUGGCGUGGAUGGAUGAUUAUUAUACAGCACAAACAUACUCCUCCUUCUGUGUCUGCCACUAACAAAUGAUACUCUCCUCUGGAAAACG
rnacentral:rRNA from 1 species